rnacentral:tRNA from 1 species
GGCCCUGUGGCCUAAUGGAUAAGGGUCGCCCUCCGGAGGCGAAGACUGCAGGUUCGAGUCCUGCCUGGGUCG